rnacentral:misc_RNA from 1 species
GAUGAAGAACGCAGCGAAAUGCGAUAAGUAAUGUGAAUUGCAGAAUUCAGUGAAUCAUCGAAUCUUUGAACGCACAUUGCGCCCUCUGGUAUUCCGGGGGGCAUGCCUGUUCGAGCGUCAUUAUAACCACUCAAGCUCUCGCUUGGUAUUGGGGCUCGCGGUUCCGCGGCCCCUAAAAUCAGUGGCGGUGCCUGUCGGCUCUACGCGUAGUAAUACUCCUCGCGAUUGAGUCCGGUAGGUCUACUUGCCAGCAACCCCCAAUUUUUACAGGUUGACCUCGGAUCAGGUAGGGAUACCCGCUGAACUUAAGCAUAUCAAUAAGGGAGGA